rnacentral:rRNA from 1 species
AUUGCCUCAGUAACGGCGAGUGAAGCGGCAACAGCUCAAAUUUGAAAUCUGGCCCCCAGGCCCGAGUUGUAAUUUGUAGAGGAUGAUUCUGGCGACGCGCCUUCCGAGUUCCCUGGAACGGGACGCCAUAGAGGGUGAGAGCCCCGUCCGGUCGUGCGCCUAGCCUCUGUGAAUCUCCUUCGACGAGUCGAGUAGUUUGGGAAUGCUGCUCUAAAUGGGAGGUAUACGUCUUCUAAAGCUAAAUACCGGCCAGAGACCGAUAGCGCACAAGUAGAGUGAUCGAAAGAUGAAAAGCACUUUGAAAAGAGGGUUAAAAAGUACGUGAAAUUGCUGAAAGGGAAGCGCUUAUGACCAGACUUGGGCGUGGUGAAUCAUCCGGCGUUCUCGCCGGUGCACUUUGCCUGUCCAGGCCAGCAUCAGUUCUCCCCGGGGGAUAAAGGCUUCGGGAAUGUAGCUCCUUCGGGAGUGUUAUAGACCGUUGCGUAAUACCCUGGGGGGGACUGAGGUACGCGUUCUGCAAGGAUGCUGGCGUAAUGGUCAUCAGUGACCCGUCUUGAAACACGGACCAAGGAGUCGUCUUCGUAUGCGAGUGUUCGGGUGUCAAACCCCUACGCGUAAUGAAAGUGAACGUAGGAGAGAGCUUCGGCGCAUCUCCGACCGAUCCUGAUGUUCUCGGAUGGAUUUGAGUAAGAGCAUACGGGGCCGGACCCGAAAGAAGGUGAACUAUGCCUGUAUAGGGUGAAGCCAGAGGAAACUCUGGUGGAGGCUCGCAGCGGUUCUGACGUGCAAAUCGAUCGUCAAAUAUGGGCAUGGGGCGAAAGACUAAUCGAACCUUCUAGUAGCU